UCGAGAAUUUUUCACAAUGGGGGAAACCCUGAUGGAGCGACGCCGCGUGGAGGAUGAAGGUUUUCGGAUUGUAAACUCCUGUCAUUAGAGAACAAGGCACACGGUUUAACUGGCCGUGUGUUGAUAGUAUCUGAAGAGGAAGAGACGGCUAACUCUGUGCCAGCAGCCGCGGUAAUACAGAGGUCUCAAGCGUUGUUCGGAUUCAUUGGGCGUAAAGGGUGCGUAGGUGGCGAGGUAAGUCGGAUGUGAAAUCUCCAAGCUCAACUUGGAAACUGCAUUCGAUACUGCUUUGCUCGAGGACUGUAGAGGGCAUUGGAAUUCACGGUGUAGCAGUGAAAUGCGUAGAUAUCGUGAGGAAGACCAGUGGCGAAGGCGAAUGCCUGGGCAGUUCCUGACACUGAGGCACGAAGGCCAGGGGAGCAAACGGG
rnacentral:rRNA from 1 species